GGCCUAUGGAGGCUUAUGGGGGCCUACUGGGGUGUAUCGGGGUCUAUUGCGGUCUGUCGAGCCUAUCGAAGCCUAUUGGGGCUUAUCAGGGCUUAUCAAGGCCUAUUGGGACCUAUUGAGGUCUGUCGGGACCUAGUGGGGCUUAUUGAGGCCUAUGGAGGCUUAUGGGGGCCUACUGGGGCCUAUUGGGGUCUAUUGGGGUCUGUCGAGCCUAUCGAAGCCUAUCGGGGCCUAUCGAGGCUUAUCGUGGCCUAUCAAGGCCUGUUGGGGCCUAUCGAGGCCUAUUGAGGCCUAUUGGGGUCUAUCAAGCCUAUAGGGGCCUAUCGAGGCCUAUUGGGGUCUAUUGGGGCCUAUUGGGACCUAUCGCGGCCUAUUGAGGCCUAUUGGGGUCUAUCAAGGCCUAUUGGGGCUUAUUGAGAACUAUCGCGGCCUAUCGCGGCCUAUCAAGGUCUAUUGGGGUCUAUCGAGGCCUAUUGAGGCCUAUUGGGGUCUAUUGGGGCCUAUUGGGGCCUAUCGCGGCCUAUCGAGGCCUAUAGGGUCCUAUCGAGGCCUAUUGAGGCCUAUUGGGGUCUAUUG
rnacentral:lncRNA from 1 species